rfam:Amborella trichopoda AMTR_V1.0_contig_44804, whole genome shotgun sequence.
UUGAGCCGUAUGCGGGGGAACUCGCACAUGCGGUUCUUAAGGGGGAGAGCUUGUAAGAGCCAUCCCAA